AUGCCGUCGUCAAGCCGCCCGAGGGAGCCGCUCCCCAUCGCGCUCCCGGGCGCCGGCCGCUCGCAGGACUUCCCCUCGCUCUUCUCCGACCUCACCUCGCUCCUCCUCCACCACUCGCCCGCCGCCGCCUCCACCCCCCACGGCCGCGCCCCGACGCGGCUGCAGGCGGGGGCCGCCUCGCGCGGCUCCUGGCAGGUGUUCGCCGACAUCCUGCGCGCCGACGGCCCGCUCGGCCUCUACCGGGGCCUGUCCGCCGUCAUCCUCGGCUCCGCCACCUCCUCCGCCAUCUACUUCGGCACCUGCGAGCUCGCCAAGUCGCUGCUGCGCCCGCACCUGCCGCCCUUCCUCGUGCCCCCGCUCGCCGGCGCCAGCGGCAACAUCUCCUCCUCGGCCAUCAUGGUGCCCAAGGAGCUCAUCACGCAGCGCCUCCAGUCCGGCGCCGCCACGGGCCGCUCCUGGCAGAUCCUGCAGACCGACGGCUUCUUCGGGCUCUACGCCGGCUACGCCGCCACGCUCCUCCGCAACCUCCCCGCCGGCGUGUCAGCUACUCCUCCUUCGAGUACCUCAAGGCCUUCGCCCUCAGCAAGAGCAACGGCGCCAACCUGGCGCCGGGGGAGAGCGUGCUGUGCGCUGUGCGGCGCCCUCGCCGGCGCGAUAUCCGCCGGGCUCACCACCCCGCUCGACGUCGUCAAGACGCGGCUGAUGACCAGGGUGGGCACCCAGGGGAGCCGCACGGUGGUGGGCACGAUGCAGGAGAUCAUCGCCGAGGAAGGCCUGAUGGGCCUGUCCCGGGGGAUCGGGCCGAGGGUCCUGCACAGCGCCUGCUUCGCUGCGAUUGGCUACUGCGCUUUUGAGACCGCCAGGCUCAUGAUCCUCAAGUCAUACCUUGAAUCGUGCGAAAGGAAAGCCGCGGAUGAGGUGAAGACCGGAGUUGCUGCUGCUUGA
rnacentral:rRNA from 1 species